GCAGCAGCAGCAGCAGCAGCAACAGCAGCAGCAGCAGCAACAGCAGCAACAACAUGUGACGAGCUGGCCAGGGAAGCAGGUAGAGACACUGAGACUAUGGGAAGAAGCUGUCAAAGCGAGAAAGAAAGAAGCUGCCAACCUGUGCCAAACCUCCACGGCUGCUACGACACCUGUGACUCUCACUACUCCAUUCAAUAUAACAUCCUCUGUGUCGUCUGGGACUAUGUCAAACCCAGUCACAGUGGCAGCUGCAAUGAGCAUGAGAAGCCCAGUAAAUGUUUCAAGUGCAGUUAAUAUAACCAGCCCAAUGAACAUAGGGCAUCCUGUAACCAUAACCAGCCCGUUGUCCAUGACCUCUCCUUUAACACUCACUACCCCAGUCAACCUCCCGACCCCUGUAACGGCCCCAGUGAACAUAGCACACCCGGUCACCAUCACCUCGCCAAUGAACCUGCCCACGCCUAUGACAUUAGCUGCCCCUCUCAAUAUAGCAAUGAGGCCUGUAGAAAGUAUGCCUUUCCUGCCCCAAGCUUUGCCUACGUCACCGCCUUGGUAAACAGUAUUAUAAAGUCAAAAUGUGGGUAAAAGUAAAUAUUUACCAGCAACUUACCUUUAGUUGAUAAAAGCAAAAGCAGACUAUGAAAUUGGGAGGUUUUAUUAUAUUAGUUAACAAGAGUGUAGUAGCUCCAGUUUUGCUGGGGUUGUUCAAAGUAGGGUGUGUGUAACGUCUCACUGGACCACUUUAGUCUAACCAGGAACCCUUUAGCUGACAGCAUUGCUUACGCAGGAAAGUAGCUGGCAAGGUGAGUGCCAGAAUUCAAACCAAUCAUAAAAUCCAUUCAAAAUAAAGAAGCAUUAUUUGUUUUUAAUACAUCAGAAUCAUUUUAUUGUAAACACUAGCAGAGUUUCUCCCUCGGUACAAGGUGGGUGGUUUUAACCUGGAGUCUAACCCACAGACUGAGAGCCGUGUAGCAGUGUCUGUGGUUUUGUUUGUAUGAGUGAAUAGAGGCACCGUCAUAAUAAAAUGCAUCUCAGAGAAUAUGCAUUUUACCUUUGGGAAUAUGUUAAUUUCAGGCAGCAUUCCCUAUGGGAAAGGUGAUACCAGCUCUGAUAUGCAAAGCAUAUGAUAAUUUAUCAUUCUAACUUCAACAUAUAAUAGGGAUUGUGACCUGAUAUUUGGAGAUGUAAAUAUUGCUCAGCAUAUUAAUCCUGAUGGAAUAUAGCAUUGUAGUUGACUUUUUUUAAAAAAAAACAAAAACUUUAAAAAAAAAAAACAAACCAACAAAUUGUGUUUUGAUGAGAAAAGGCUGCGGCUGACUGAGGGGAAGUCAGGUGUGCACGCAGCAGGCUCCUUAGCGGGUCAGUAGAUCCUGUUCCAAGAGUGACGAGAACUUUGGAACAGUUUAAAUCUAUUGCUUUAAAUUGGAAGACAUUGGAGGCACUGGGAUGUGACAUGCCCCUCUCUCUCCCAAUCAGCGUCUGUUGAUGCUACAACAGGCACAGGUGUGCUAGAUGCUCACUAGAGUUUAUGUCUUAUAUGAAAUUGUAUACAGUUUUUAUUCUAACCACUAACUAGGUAGUAUGCCCCUUCAGAACAGCAGAGUGUAUCCCCUUCCUUCUGUUUAAUCAAGUAUUGUGCUUUGUAAAUAUGGACAUCACUUUCUUUUCCUUUGUAUCCGCUUUCUGGAGUUUUCAGGGAGGCAGCUGUCUGCAUGCUCCAUGGAAACACCUGCAAUGAUUGUGCACGUUGAGACAUGUGCUUUUUGUUUCUUAGCGGGAUGCUUUACCCCUGUACAUACGGUAGAAACCAAAAGCUAGGGGAACAGACACUCUAUACACCAUCAUGCCACACUUCAUGUUUUCAAAGCAUUGCGUUAGAGAAGAGUUCAUUCAAACCAAGAUGCUGUAAUUGUUUUUUUACAUUGCUAUAUGUUUUGGGUCUUUUUCAUUUUUAAUCUUGCAUUUAAGAGAUAUGGAAAUGAGUUUUAGCCCUGCAGAAUGCAUGCAGGGCUGUCACACCAGAUGACUUCCGUUUGUUUAUACCCCACUGUGUCAGUACAAACAUCAAAAUACCAUGCGUCUGAGGCAGACUUCCUACAUCAGGGACAGGUAUCUGUGUGUCACUAUACAAAACAGUUCUAGGGGAUGAACUACAUAGUAAAAAAAUUAAAAUAAAUAGUACCUAGUGUAAAAUAAUUUUAUAAAUGAUCUUUUGUACUUUAGGACAUUAAAUUGUACAACUUUUGUAUAUAUAAAGCUUAGGAACUUUCUGUUUAGCAGGAAGGCAACACAUUCCUACACUUUUAAUGUAUAUGUUUGUUAUAAUGUCCAUGUAAACAUGCCCUAUGUUUGUGCCUUUUAAUUAGUUUGUCUCAAUAAACAAAAUGUAGAGAAAAAUAUGUAGCUAUGACUUUGUUACAACAGUUCUUAUCCACAGUUGAAAAUGGUUUGUUUUUAAGUGUAGAUCAUUAUGUGUGAGCUCCUGCAAGGGCUCAUGGGGGAAGGCCUAGGGAUGGCACUGCUGAGGCCCUGGAGGGCAGUGGUCACGUGCGGAGGAAACCCUCAUUUCCUGGCAUGUGUUCUGCCCGCUGGGCCUUGUCAUCUCUUGUGCUGGCAGCCAUGGUCUUUCUGGCCAGACAACCCAGGCCUCCUCCACAGUGGCCAAGGAGCAGUCCUCAAAGUGGGCAGGUGUGGGCCCUUCCCCCAGGCUUCAGCGUGGUCACAAGAUCCUGAAAGUAUUAGUUCUGACGGAACAAAAGGUAUCUACUAGAAAUGAUUGUAAACAGGAGUGAGACUUCAUUGUAUGACUUCGGUUAAAAUGCUAUUUUGUAUGCAUACUUUAUUCACGUAAGAAGCUUGUCUGCAAUAAUAAAGCCACGCUGUGUCUUCUUUGGGGAGGGAGAGAGUUGAAGCGGGAUGGGCGAGGGUAGGGGAUUGCAGAGGGGGCACAAACAGGCUGUGGGGUGAAAUCCUGUGUCUUGGAACUGAAACUGAUGAACUGAUUCAACCGUGUGUCGAAGGCACCGACGGCCACCACUCUACAAAAGGCAGAGUAUGUUUUCCCUCCUGGUUGUAACCCAGCGGAGAGCUUUCCCUUUAUCAGAUUGGCAGCUAAACAGUUGUAUUAGAUAAUCUUCAACUCUGACAUCCAGCCUGUUCUGCUUGCUCUAGGGCUCGCUGCUUGGCCUGCAUCUACCUUUUACUGUGUAUUCAUUUCCCUCCUAAGGUGUGCUCCUAAAUGAAGGUUUCUAUGUACGCAGAUGAUGAUUUUACCUGUCAAUACCAGCACUGUAUUACUAACAUGCAAAAUACUGCAGAUUUAUUUUGACAAAUUAAAGUUAACCAGUCACAACUGUUA
rnacentral:lncRNA from 1 species